rnacentral:rRNA from 1 species
CUUCAUGAAGCUGGAAUUGCUAGUAAUGGCAGGUCAGCAUACUGCCGUGAAUACGUUCCCGGGCCUUGUACACACCGCCCGUCACACCAUGAGAGUUGGGAAUACCCGAAGCCUGUGAGCUAACUUAAAGAGGCAGCAGUCGAAGGUAGAGCCAAUGAUUGGGGUGAAGUCGUAACAAGGUACC